rnacentral:rRNA from 1 species
AUUGAACGCUGGCGGCAUGCCUUACACAUGCAAGUCGAACGGCAGCGGGGGAGAAGCUUGCUUUUCCUGCCGGCGAGUGGCGAACGGGUGAGUAAUACAUCGGAACGUGCCCUGUAGUGGGGGAUAACUAGUCGAAAGAUUAGCUAAUACCGCAUACGACCUGAGGGUGAAAGUGGGGGACCGCAAGGCCUCAUGCUCUAGGAGCGGCCGAUGUCUGAUUAGCUAGUUGGUGGGGUAAAGGCCUACCAAGGCGACGAUCAGUAGCUGGUCUGAGAGGACGAUCAGCCACACUGGGACUGAGGCACGGCCCGGACUCCUACGGGAGGCAGCAGUGGGGAAUUUUGGACAAUGGGCGAAAGCCUGAUCCAGCAAUGCCGCGUGUGUGAAGAAGGCCUUCGGGUUGUAAAGCACUUUUGUCCGGAAAGAAAUGGCUCUGGUUAAUACCUGGGGUCGAUGACGGUACCGGAAGAAUAAGGACCGGCUAACUACGUGCCAGCAGCCGCAGUAA